UAUGAAGAACGUAGCAAAAUGCGAUAAGUAAUGUGAAUUGCAGAAUUCAGUGAAUCAUCGAAUCUUUGAACGCACAUUGCGCCCGCCAGUAUUCUGGCGGGCAUGCCUGUUCGAGCGUCAUUUCAACCCUCAAGCACAGCUUGGUGUUGGGACUCGCGUUAAUUCGCGUUCCCCAAAUUGAUUGGCGGUCACGUCGAGCUUCCAUAGCGUAGUAGUAAAACCCUCGUUACUGGUAAUCGUCGCGGCCACGCCGUUAAACCCCAACUUCUGAAUGUUGACCUCGGAUCAGGUGGGAAUACCCGCUGAACUUAAGCAUAUCAAUAAGCGGAGGA
rnacentral:misc_RNA from 1 species